CUAACCAUAAAAAUUCUUUUGUAUAAUGGCCCAGCUUCUGCAGUUGUCUGUCCCUAAAGUUUUCAAUGUGCAACUCAGAAACAUCACUACUGUCCACAGAACCUGACAGGUGGGGUGAUUCAAGAGGCAGUGAAUCUAGAUUUCGAGGCCACAAGGAUCCGAUGCUAUCAACCGGCUCUUUUAAAUUGAAUCAGAAUUCCUGCAGCCCAGAUCAUAGUCAGUUUGCAGCAUCAUGACACCAGAAAAACUAGAUUAUUAUGGUUUGGGCAUAGUUGAUAGACAUGAAGGUAAAAGGUAGGCAGGAUAACGGUACUAGUUGAUCCAAGGAAUAUAACUAUAUGCAAGUUGGAGAAGGAGGAAGAGUAAAUUUAUUAUAUAUAAGGAGAAAAAAAUCAUUUUAUUUAUUAUCAUUAUUUUUUUUCUUUUUUUCUUUUUUGUGUGUGCUGUUGUUUGGGGGGGUGGGAGGAGAGUAUUGAACCAAAAACAUUCAGGAAUUGAUUAAAAGCCCUGUGAAUCACUGAUCCACUUGUGAAACACUAAACAUGACUAACCACAAAUUGUACGAAGUACUCCGGAAUCUCAAACUUAUUCUGCCAUAGGCAACUAUAAGUUCUGGAAAAAAGCAGAUUUCAAAACGAAAAGUUUAUGAGUAUGCCAACUGUAAAACAAAUCGUAGUCUGCCCGUCCAAACUUUAAUAUAUCCCCAUAAUUUUCCAGUCCACCUAAUUAACAUGGGCAAAAGAUCCGAACUUUUUUUGAAUCUGUAAUGGACUAAAUAACAUAACAUAUUAUAGGGCAGUUUCAUUAACUCCUGGUAAUGAAAACUUUAGAAUAGACGAGUCGCAAGAAGGAAAAUGAAACAAUAUACAAGUAAUUUUAUGCGCAUCCAAACCGUAAGAAGCUUGAAAGUUGGAACUGUCAAAAAAAAACUCUGCACAGAACCAAAAACCCAGAACCACAAAGCUUCAUGAUUUUCAAAAAGAAAAAUCAAAAUCCGUCAAUACUUUUGAAUGAAAUAAGAAGAGUUUCAUUAAUUUUUUUUCCAAUUGUACCUGAAACGAUGGAGUUGAGCCAAUCAAUCACCUCUCGUCUGGACUUGAGCUUCAAAGGUCUCGUGGACAAUAAAAUUGAUCUAUUCUUAACAGCGUAGUGAUAAGAAGAAUGCCUAGAGCUCGUCUCUUUCCUAUGACGGCCAGAUCCAAUCCUCCGUCUAUCCUUUUCAAGUAAUAGCGAACCUCUCUCCUCCCUUUAUCCAUCGAGACGCUCACCUCCUCGCAGCUAACGUACCCGAACGACUCCGUAUCCGGCGGCGACCCCAAUCUCUCCAUCAAUUCAAUCGCAAAACCCAAAGUCCGAACCCUAAUCGAAAAUUCCAAACGCAAAUUGAGAAAUUAAACCGUACGCGACGAGGCUACGCGGUGAUGGUUGAGAGGAAUGGACUCUGGUGUCUCUCUCUAUCCGUUUUCUCUUCCUAUUUGAUGAGCCGUUCGUCAG
rnacentral:misc_RNA from 1 species